UAGGGAAUAUUAGUCAUGGACGAAAGUCUGAUCUAGCAACACCGCGUGUGCGAAGAAGGCCUUCGGGUUGUAAAGCACUUUUUGGAAGGAUUAGGAAGGAAUGUACUUCCAGAAUAAGUCUCGGCUAACUACGUGCCAGCAGCCGCGGUAACACGUAGGAGGCAAACGUUAUCCGGAUUUACUGGGCGUAAAGCGCGUGUAGGUGGUUCUGUAAGUAGGGCGUGAAAGCUCCUGGCUCAACUGGGAGAGGCCGUUCUAAACUGCAGAGCUAGAGGAUGGUAGAGGGAGGUGGAGUUGCGGGUGUAGCGGUGGAAUGCGCAGAUAUCCGGAGGAACACCAGUUGCGAAAGCGGCCGCCUGGACCAGUCCUGACACUCAGACGCGAAAGCUAGGGUAGCAAACG
rnacentral:rRNA from 1 species